rnacentral:rRNA from 1 species
GAUGAACGCUGGCGGCGUGCCUAAUACAUGCAAGUCGAGCGAACAGACGAGAGUGCUUGCACUCUCUGACGUUAGCGGCGGACGGGUGAGUAACACGUGGGUAACCUACCUAUAAGACUGGGAUAACUUCGGGAAACCGGAGCUAAUACCGGAUAAUAUUUAGCUUCGCAUGAAGCAAUAGUGAAAGACGGUUCUGCUGUCACUUAUAGAUGGACCCGCGGUGUAUUAGCUAGUUGGUGAGGUAACGGCUCACCAAGGCAACGAUACAUAGCCGACCUGAGAGGGUGAUCGGCCACACGGGGAAGGAGCCACGGCCCAGACUCCUACGGGAGGCAGCAGUAGGGAAUCUUCCGCAAUGGACGAAAGUCUGACGGAGCAAUGCCGCGUGAGUGAAGAAGGUUUUCGGAUCGUAAAACUCUGUUGUAAGGGAAGAACAAGUACGUUAGUAACUGAACGUACCUUGACGGUACCUUACCAGAAAGCCACGGCUAACUACGUG